ensembl:lncRNA
AUGUCUCUUUUCAUUUACAAUUGGCCUUUGUUGCAUAGAAACACUGCAUGUAGAAUGAGUCUAGCCUGUGCCGUAACCCAAACUGCUGUUGCUGUGUGUCAGUGUGCUUGUUGCUCUGAGGGAAGCCACAGUCUUGGGGACAUAGCUGUUCAGACACACGCCCAGGAGCUGUGCUUGGCCGCCUGCAACUCACAGUCAUGUGACCUCCAGCUCCAAUCUGAUACGAUGACUUGUAGACUUCAAUCAAACCCACAGUCUCCAGAGGAAGAGCUGCACUGCAAUGCCUCAUGGGAGGUGGUCCAUAGUGAGCAACUGCCAAAUGAGUGCUCUGACAGACAAACCCAGUGCAGCUCGUGGCCCCUGGGGGCACUAAAGACUCUGAGGAGCCCAGUGUUCCUGGUCGUCCUGCUGGCUGUGUUCCUAGCCCUGCUGGUCUGGCCCUCAACACUCUUCAUGGACCCAGAGUGCCACCGCUCCAACUCCCUUGCCCGUACCUUCCAACUGGCCCUGAGCUACGUCAAUGGGCCCCCGCCAACCUGAGGGACAAAAGUGUCCCAGAAGGUGGUCACGUUAAAUCCGUGGUGAGCCCUGAACACACCUUAUUCAGGGGGGACAGUCCCAGAAAGCCUUUCCAUUUCAAAACCAUAAGUAAGGCAUUAACAAGGAGGCCGUAUGAGAAAAGAGUGAAAUUAAGAACUAUUAGGCCCAAUAAAAAUGUGGCCUUGGUAUUUAUUAUCUGAAUCCCUCCACCAGCCUGCUGGCAGAAGUAGCUCAUGACUUAAUAGGCCUCAUUUUAUAACGGUCUCUAAUGGCAUUCAUAAUGUCUUACUAUGCCAGGCUAGCACUUUUGAUGAUUGGUCUGUCAUGAUGGAUUUGUAACUUAUUUAUGUGGUGAUUAUAAUCUAUAUGGACGACUUAAUGACAGCAAAUACUUUGAGCAAUUCUCUUUUGGGCAUUUGAAAUGAUCUGUAUAUCAAUAUUUAUUAUGUCAAAGCUAGAGAGAGCUUUCGAUUUAUUCUGCACUCUAUAUUGCAAGAGCUUGGGACUAUUGGUUCGAUCUGCAUUUUUGUCCAAAUUGAGUUAUUGAUCAAGCCUUGUUCUGUUCAAUGUUCUCUACCCAUAUAGUACUCAACACCCCAAUCUUGUUAAAUUCAAAAAGAAUAUCAGACAAACAUUGCUGACACCUUUCAAACCAUUGAGGGUUCGGAACUUUGAAGCCAAUUAUCUCAGAAUCAUCUUUUUGCAGGUAAUCGUUAGUCCCAAGCUCUCCAUUUCACAUGGCGUUUCCUCAAAUGAAUAAUACUGAAUGCCCGAGUUCGGAUUUACUAGGGCGACUUGCAGAGAUAACCCAUUUGUAGGUCAAUGGGAUAGGUGACCUGGUUAAUGCACUUAGGAUAAAUUAGCACUCCUUUUGUGCUGCCGCUGUGGGUGAGACCUUGUUUGCAUGUGCGUGGGUCGUUCGUAUAUACUCAAUGAAUUUAUUUUAUAUCUGCUGCGACGCCAACGGGGUCCAGCUGGAAAACAAUCAGGCAAAAGCCAACUCCUCUGAGGCCAGUGAAGACCGUGUAAGCCUCUAAACAUACUCUAUGUGUUAUGUAAUGGUUUAUGGUCAAUGGCUAUGUUUUUGACAUAGUGGAUGCAAUCCUGGAUCUCAUCCGUAUGUCACAAAUGUAAUGUCAGUCUUAAGAAGUGAAUGGAUCAAAACUCCAUAAUAUUAUGUGAGGUACAUGCAGCUCAUCUGAAAAUGUUAGAAUAUGUCUGCCUUAUGCUUGUAGGUGUGUGUGUUUGUUUGUGGGGGAGUGUUUGCACAGAGUUUUGAUUCUUGUCCAUCCAGUGUGUAUCAGCGUGGAAAUGUAGCAAAGUGUAACUAAUCAGAUUUCUUCAAAUCAGAUUCCUCAGCUUCUUGCAUUUUCAUGGAUGAUUUUUAAACUUCCCCUUUAUACAGUAAAGGAUUCCUGUUUUUUUUUUUUUUUUAUAUAUGUGGAGUUCAAGAUCUGUACAUGCGUCAUGAAAUUAAAGAACAGUGUGAACAGAGGAGUAUAGAUCUAUUUUUCUUCUACUGUGGAAUGUGUGUGUGUGGAAUGGUAUGUCGUGUGAUUCUGAUUUUUGCCAUAGUGCGACGGCCUGCAAGUAUCUGGGCUAGUGGGUGAACUGAAAGGGGGUUUUGUGCUGGUGCAUGCAAAAAAAAUGCACCCAAGAAUGUUAUAAAUUAAAUUAGUACGCAAAUGAGAGAAUGUCGGAAGAAUUUGCAGAUGACCUGUCCAUCGCUGGCCAGUGAAAGUGAAUUCUGAUGCAUAGGGUGAGGGAAUCAGGAUUGUGUGGCUAAAGAGGAGACAGUCUUGAUUAACAGGGCCACGCAGUUCACCCAUGCUAAUGAGGCAAAUUUGUGAUGUUUUCAAUCUAUGCUUUUUGGUUUUGUCCUGUUUUCCUAAUGACUCAUAGAGGGGGAGUCGAUUUAUAGAGAGCAAAUUGCUGGUUUGUGUGUUUGGCACAACUGUUACAACAUAAUUUAGGACCUGUGUAAAGAUGGAAGGGCACGGUACGCUAGAUUGGACUCUGGACCGAGAUAUACUGCCGGGGAUCUGGUGCCACCGGCCAUAUGACUGUAAAAACGGAACAAGUAAAUGCUGCUAUUAUCCCUUGAAGGACAAGCAUUGCGGGCCCAGUGGAGAAACGGGUGUCUGCUGACUAAAUGAGACUUGUCCCCCAAGACAUUCUGAGUAAACAGACCUUUCCAGCUGACUUCUAAGGCACUGACACUGAUGUACCGUUUGCACAGCAAGUGUGCGUACUGUAAAAGCCAGUGUGAAGAAUGUCUGCUUUAUACCCCUGGAUUUGUCCCUGAAUCCUUCUCUAACUGUACAGUACUGGCCAAUGUUUUUAGGCCAAUCUAGUAAAAGCUGAGAUGAAAGGAACUUAUUUUUUUUUCUCUGUGGAUAUGGUUCUCUGCAGCAAAGUGAUUUGUUUUGCUAUAUUCCUGCUAAAGCACCAGCAGUGUAUUUCAGAGCCUAUAAAAUAAAUGUGUGUGUGUGUAUAUUAAUAUGAGCUAGCAUGACACGUUAGUUACCAUCGCCAACUGAGUUUUGAGACGGCUCCUGAGAAGGACUGCUAUGAUCAGGCUAACUAUUGAAGUUUGGACUCCAGAAGGAGCAACUGACCUUGCAGAAAGAAAGUGCAUAGACAGACAGUACUACAAGUCUCUACGCUCAAUAGAAGCCUUGCCUGAAGCGUUCCCACUAUAUAUCACAGGUUAUACAGUAAACUUAUGAGAAGCAAAAAAUGUGUUAUUGUGAAGCUGCUCUUGUGAAUAAGCUGGCCAAAAUUCCAACAGAGCUCUAACAAGGAGGCAUUGUUAGCACUGUAAAUAAGAAAAACAAGUUAAUUGAAUCACAACACAAACCAAACUGCACAAGCCAUUGGGCUUCCUGAGUUGUAAUCCUUUACUUUACUCCAUCCUUUGCCUUGAAUUUUAUGUCUGAUUAAAUUGUCAGCUAUAAAAGUAUCAACUUUCUCAUCACAUAUUUUAAUAUUUACAGUGCCUUGCGAAAGUAUUCGGCCCCCUUGAACUUUGCGACCUUUUGCCACAUUUCAGGCUUCAAACAUAAAGAUAUAAAACUGUAUAUUUUUUGUGAAGAAUCAACAAGUGGGACACAAUCAUGAAGUGGAACGACAUUUAUUGGAUAUUUCAAACUUUUUUAACAAAUCAAAAACUGAAAAAUUGGGCGUGCAAAAUUAUUCAGCCCCUUUACUUUCAGUGCAGCAAACUCUCUCCAGAAGUUCAGUGAGGAUCUCUGAAUGAUCCAAUGUUGACCUAAAUGACUAAUGAUGAUAAAUACAAUCCACCUGUGUGUAAUCAAGUCUCCGUAUAAAUGCACCUGCACUGUGAGUCUCAGAGGUCCGUUAAAAGUGCAGAGAGCAUCAUGAAGAACAAGGAACACACCAGGCAGGUCUGAGAUACUGUUGUGAAGAAGUUUAAAGCUGGAUUUGGAUACAAAAAGAUUUCCCAAGCUUUAAACAUCCAAAGGAGCACUGUGCAAGCGAUAAUAUUGAAAUGGAAGGAGUAUCAGACCACUACAAAUCUACCAAGACCUGGCCGUCCCUCUAAACUUUCAGCUCAUACAAGGAGAAGACUGAUCAGAGAUGCAGCCAAGAGGCCCAUGAUCACUCUGGAUGAACUGCAGAGAUCUACAGCUGAGGUGGGAGACUCUGUCCAUAGGACAACAAUCAGUCGUAUAUUGCACAAAUCUGGCCUUUAUGGAAGAGUGGCAAGAAGAAAGCCAUUUCUUAAAGAUAUCCAUAAAAAGUGUCGUUUAAAGUUUGCCACGAGACACACCAAACAUGUGGAAGAAGGUGCUCUGGUCAGAUGGUCUUUUUGGCAACAAUGCAAAACUUUUGGCGUAAAAGCAACACAGCCCAUCACCCUGAACACACCAUCCCCACUGUCAAACAUGGUGGUGGCAGCAUCAUGGUUUGGGCCUGCUUUUCUUCAGCAGGGACAGGGAAGAUGGUUAAAAUUGAUGGGAAGAUGGAUGGAGCCAAAUACAGGACCAUUCUGGAAGAAAACCUGAUGGAGUCUGUAAAAGACCUGAGACUGGGACGGAGAUUUGUCUUCCAACAAGACAAUGAUCCAAAACAUAAAGCAAAAUCUACAAUGGAAUGGUUCAAAAAUAAGUCCAGACCUGAAUCCAAUCGAGAAUCUGUGGAAAGAACUGAAAACUGCUGUUCACAAAUGCUCUCCAUCCAACCUCACUGAGCUCGAGCUGUUUUGCAAGGAGGAAUGGGAAAAAAUGUCAGUCUCUCGAUGUGCAAAACUGAUAGAGACAUACCCCAAGCGACUUACAGCUGUAAUCGCAGCAAAAGGUGGCGCUACAAUGUAUUAACUUAAGGGGGCUGAAUAAUUUUGCACGCCCAAUUUUUCAGUUUUUGAUUUGUUAAAAAAGUUUGAAAUAUCCAAUAAAUGUCAUUCCACUUCAUGAAUGUGUCCCACUUGUUGUUGAUUCUUCACAAAAAAAAUACAGUUUUAUAUCUUUGUUUGAAGCCUGAAAUGUGGCAAAAGGUCGCAAAGUUCAAGGGGGCCGAAUACUUUCGCAAGGCACUAUACAUAUUUGUCGAGUACGUCUACAUGUAAAAAAAACAAUAUGGAGGGGAGGGAGUGUUGUCAUGCUGGCUCACUUGGCUAGUUGUCAGGAUAUUUAGUGAGUAACUCCUUCAUCCUGCUUUCUGCACUACACACAAUGGUGGAAAAAAGUACUCAAUUGUCAUACUUGAAUAAAAGUAAAGAUGCCUUAAUAGAAAAAGUGAAAGUCAUCCAGUAAAACUACUUGAGUAAGUCUAAAAGUAUGUGGUUUUUAUAUAUAUAUAUAUAUAUAUAUAUAUAUAUAUAUAUAUAAACCACAUACUUUUAGACUUACUCAAGUAGUUUUACUGGAUGACUUUCACUUUUUCUAUUAAGGCAUCUUAAUAGAAGUAUCAAAAGUAUCAAAAGUAAAA